AUUGAACGCUGGCGGCAGGCCUAAUACAUGCAAGUCGAACGGUAACAUAGAAAGCUUGCUUUUCUUGAUGACGAGUGGCGGACGGGUGAGUAAGAUUUGGGAAACUACCUGAUAGAGGGGGACAACAGUUGGAAACGACUGCUAAUACCGCAUACAGCCUCAGGGUGAAAGAAGCGAUUCGCUAUCAGAUGUGCCCAAACGGGAUUAGCUAGUAGGUGAGGUAAAGGCUCACCUAGGCGACGAUCUCUAGCUGGUCUGAGAGGAUGAUCAGCCACAUUGGGACUGAGACACGGCCCAGACUCCUACGGGAGGCAGCAGUAGGGAAUAUUGCACAAUGGAGGAAACUCUGAUGCAGCCAUGCCGCGUGUGUGAAGAAGGCCUUCGGGUUGUAAAGCACUUUCGGAGGGGAGGAAGAAAAUGACGUUACCCUCAGAAGAAGCACCGGCUAACUCCGUG
rnacentral:rRNA from 1 species